rnacentral:rRNA from 1 species
UACGAAGGGGGCUAGCGUUGCUCGGAAUCACUGGGCGUAAAGGGUGCGUAGGCGGGUCUUUAAGUCAGGGGUGAAAUCCUGGAGCUCAACUCCAGAACUGCCUUUGAUACUGAAGAUCUUGAGUUCGGGAGAGGUGAGUGGAACUGCGAGUGUAGAGGUGAAAUUCGUAGAUAUUCGCAAGAACACCAGUGGCGAAGGCGGCUCACUGGCCCGAUACUGACGCUGAGGCACGAAAGCGUGGGGAGCAAACAGGAUUAGAA